rnacentral:tRNA from 1 species
GAGUCUGUAACUUAAAGUAAAGUAUCAAUUUGUCACAUUGAAGGAUGCCCUCUCGCUAAGGGUCAGACUCG